UGGGGAAUUGUUCACAAUGGGCGCAAGCCUGAUGACGCAACGCCGCGUGGGGGAUGAAGGUCUUCGGAUUGUAAACCCCUGUCGAAUGGGACGAAAGACUCGCGAGUUAAUACUUCGCGGGAGUGACGGUACCGUUAAAGGAAGCCACGGCUAACUCUGUGCCAGCAGCCGCGGUAAUACAGAGGUGGCAAGCGUUGUUCGGAAUUACUGGGCGUAAAGGGCGCGUAGGCGGCCUACUAAGUCAGACGUGAAAUCCCCCGGCUUAACCUGGGAACUGCGUCUGAUACUGGAAGGCUUGAGUAUGGGAGAGGGAUGUAGAAUUCCAGGUGUAGAGGUGAAAUUCGUAGAUAUUAGGAAGAGCACCGGUGGCGAAGGCGGCCCACUGGAUCGGUACUGACGCUGAGGUGCGAAAGCGUGGGGAGCAAACAGGAUUAGAUACCCCCGUAGUCCCUGAGCGGGCUGGCAAGGCGCAU
rnacentral:rRNA from 1 species